UUUACAGCAUCAAAGAAACACAUGAGAAGAGUGAUUCUGGAUUGCAAACUGAGUUUGUGUUAGGUGGAGGGGUCAGGAAGAAGGAGUCCUUGGUCACAGAGGAUCUUGAUUUGAGUAAUGAAUAGAAACCAGCAACAAACAGCCUAAUUGUAGGAGGGCUAGGAGUCAUUCCACACCAAAGGGAGGCAGCGAGCAGGAGGAAGCAACCUCAGUGCCAAUACCUUUAUUAUUCUGGUGACUAUUUUUUCUCACCACUAUUUCUGUUCCCCGCCUUAUUUUUGCUUAAAUUUCACCAUCCCCAAAUGUCUAGCCUAGACAUCAAAAGCUUGUAAUGGUCUCUAAUUUAUCAUCCUUAGCACUGAACCAGAAGUCACCCUGUUUCUUAAUGUUUAAAUCUAUCUCUUGUCAAUCAUGUGAGUUCAGGAAGAGUUUAUCUUGUACACCUCAGCAUUCCAGGCUCUCAGAAAAAUGGCUGGCAUGUAGUAAGUGAAUUUCCAAAUAAUUUCUGCAAUUCUCCUGCUCCUCUUUGACUUUGGAGAAGGGUUCUCAGAUCACCAUGCAGCAAAUAAAAAUCUGGAUGAGAGUUUCACAGUGCAUCCCAGAGCCUUGCAGUGCUGAGCCUGUCUUUGUUCACUGGCUUUGUAAUUCCCUUCUCUGUGGGACAAAGGGCAUAUGCAUAAAGUUGGCAACGAGCUCUAACCUGAAGGCACUGUGGGCAUCACAGAGAGGAAUAACCAUGUUCUCAUUCCACAGACAACUCAGCUCACUCCCAUUCCACUCUCACUCUCAUGUGUGUCACAGGCUCCAUGCAGCUGCCAAGUACUUUACAUAUAUUAUCUCUGCUUACAGUUGCAGUAGUAUUAUGAACAGGCAUUAUUGUUAUCUCUAUUUUAAAGAUUAGGAACUUCAGUCUAGAAAGGUUAAGUUGCACUGCUAAUAAGAAGGAAAGCCAGGAUAAAGCCAGCAUGACACCGAGAAGCAAUUUCACUCUAGACUUCAUAGUUUCACCAUUUGUACCCACGAUACCGAACAUCUACAAUAGGGACCAAUGUAAAACAUGUGCUUUGAAAGAAAUGGUAAAUAACACGAAUAUGCUGAGAAAAGACUUUACGUAAUAUUC